rnacentral:rRNA from 1 species
ACUCCUACGGGAGGCAGCAGUGGGGAAUAUUGCACAAUGGGCGCAAGCCUGAUGCAGCCAUGCCGCGUGUAUGAAGAAGGCCUUCGGGUUGUAAAGUACUUUCAGCAGUGAGGAAGGUGAGUAGUAGUUAAUAGCUGCUAUUAUUUGACGUUAGCUAGCAAGAAGAAGCGACCGGCUAACUCCGUGCCAGCAGCCGCGGUAAUACGGAGGGUGCGAGCGUUAAUCGGAAUUACUGGGCGUAAAGCGCAUGCAGGUGGUUUGUUAAGUCAGAUGUGAAAGCCCGGGGCUCAACCUCGGAAUAUGAC